UGGGGAAUUUUGGACAAUGGGCGAAAGCCUGAUCCAGCAAUGCCGCGUGUGUGAAGAAGGCCUUCGGGUUGUAAAGCACUUUUGUCCGGAAAGAAAUCCUUGGCUCUAAUACAGUCGGGGGAUGACGGUACCGGAAGAAUAAGCACCGGCUAACUACGUGCCAGCAGCCGCGGUAAUACGUAGGGUGCAAGCGUUAAUCGGAAUUACUGGGCGUAAAGCGUGCGCAGGCGGUUUGCUAAGACCGAUGUGAAAUCCCCGGGCUCAACCUGGGAACUGCAUUGGUGACUGGCAGGCUAGAGUAUGGCAGAGGGGGGUAGAAUUCCACGUGUAGCAGUGAAAUGCGUAGAGAUGUGGAGGAAUACCGAUGGCGAAGGCAGCCCCCUGGGCCAAUACUGACGCUCAUGCACGAAAGCGUGGGGAGCAAACAGGAUUAGAUACCCUGGUAGUCCACGCCCUAAACGAUGUCAACUAGUUGUUGGGGAUUCAUUUCCUUAGUAACGUAGCUAACGCGUGAAGUUGACCGCCUGGGGAGUACGGUCGCAAGAUUAAAACUUAAAUGGAAUUGACGGGGU
rnacentral:rRNA from 1 species